rnacentral:rRNA from 1 species
CACGUAGGGGACGAGCGUUGUCCGGAUUCAUUGGGCGUAAAGCGCGCGUAGGCGGCUCGGAAAGUCGGUCGUGAAAUGCCGGGGGCUCAACCCCGGGACUGCGUCCGAUACUCCCGAGCUGGAGGCAGGUAGGGGAGAUCGGAAUUCCUGGUGUAGCGGUGAAAUGCGCAGAUAUCAGGAGGAACACCGGUGGCGAAGGCGGAUCUCUGGGCCUUGCCUGACGCUGAGGCGCGAAAGCUAGGGGAGCGAACAGG